rnacentral:rRNA from 1 species
UUGGAGGGCAAGUCUGGUGCCAGCAGCCGCGGUAAUUCCAGCUCCAAUAGCGUAUAUUAAAGUUGUUGCAGUUAAAAAGCUCGUAGUUGAAUUUCGGAAUCUGUCCUUUGGUCGGGCUUCACUGUCCGUACUGGUGUGAUGGGUUUCUACCUUCUGAAUAACCGGCAUGUCAUUAAUUUGGUGCGCCGGGGAAGCAGAACUAUUACCUUGAAAAAAUUAGAGUGCUUAAAGCAGGCUAUCGCCUGAAUAGAUUAGCAUGGAAUAAUAAAAUAGGACGGCAUGGUUCUAUUUUGUCGGUUUCUAGGAUCACCGUAAUGAUUAAUAGGGAUAGUUGGGGGCAUUAGUAUUCAAUUGUCAGAGGUGAAAUUCUUGGAUUUAUUGAAGACUAACUUCUGCGAAAGCAUUUGCCAAGGAUGUUUUCAUUAAUCAAGAACGAAAGUUAGGGGAUCGAAGACGAUCAGAUACCGUCGUAGUCUUAACCAUAAACUAUGCCGACUAGGGAUCGGACGAUGUUAAUUUUUUAAUGACUCGUUCGGCGCCUUACGGGAAAC